rnacentral:rRNA from 1 species
UACGGAGGGGCGAGCGUUAUUCGGAUUUACUGGGCGUAAAGGGUGCGUAGGCGGCCGCGCAAGUCUGGUGUGAAAUCUUCACCGCUCAACGGGAAGAGGUCACUGGAAACUGCGCGGCUCGAGUAUGGUAGAGGCAAGCGGAAUUCCUGGUGUAGCGGUGGAAUGUGUAGAUAUCAGGAAGAACACCCGUGGCGAAGGCGGCUUGCUGGACGGCAACUGACGUUGAGUCUCGAAAGCGUGGGGAGCGAACAGGAUUAGAUACCCGUGUA